rnacentral:rRNA from 1 species
GAUGAACGCUAGCGGCAGGCCUAACACAUGCAAGUCGAGGGAGGAGCUUUCGGGCUUCGACCGGCGUACGGGUGCGUAACGCGUAUACAAUCUGCCUUUCACAUAGGGAUAGCCCGAAGAAAUUUGGAUUAAUACCUAAUGGUAUAUAGGAGUGGCAUCACAUUUAUAUUAAAGCUGAGGCGGUGAAAGAUGAGUAUGCGUUCUAUUAGCUAGUUGGAGAGGUAACGGCUCCCCAAGGCUACGAUAGAUAGGGGUUCUGAGAGGGAUAUCCCCCACACUGGUACUGAGAUACGGACCAGACUCCUACGGGAGGCAGCAGUGAGGAAUAUUGGACAAUGGUCGGAAGACUGAUCCAGCCAUGCCGCGUGCAGGAAGACGGCCUUAUGGGUUGUAAACUGCUUUUGCAGGGGAAGAAUAAGGACUACGAGUAGUUUGAUGACGGUACUCUGCGAAUAAGCA